AACGUUGCUCGGGAUUACUGGGCGUAAAGCGCGUGUAGGCGGGUUUCCACGUCCGAUGGGAAAUCCCCGGGCUCAACCCAGGAACUGCGUCCGAUACUGGCAGGCUUGAAUUCGGGAGAGGGAUGCGGAAUUCCAGGUGUAGCGGUGAAAUGCGUAGAUAUCUGGAGGAACACCGGUGGCGAAGGCGGCAUCCUGGACCGAUAUUGACGCUGAGGCGCGAAAGCCAGGGGAGCAAACGGG
rnacentral:rRNA from 1 species